AGCGAACGCUGGCGGCAGGCUUAACACAUGCAAGUCGAGCGGGCAUCUUCGGGUGUCAGCGGCGGACGGGUGAGUAACGCGUGGGAACGUGCCUUCUGGUUCGGAAUAACUCAGGGAAACUUGAGCUAAUACCGGAUACGCCCUUUUGGGGAAAGGUUUACUGCCGGAAGAUCGGCCCGCGUCUGAUUAGCUAGUUGGUGGGGUAACGGCCUACCAAGGCGACGAUCAGUAGCUGGUCUGAGAGGAUGAUCAGCCACACUGGGACGGAGACACGGCCCAGACUCCUACGGGAGGCAGCAGUGGGGAAUAUUGGACAAUGGGGGCAACCCUGAUCCAGCCAUGCCGCGUGAGUGAUGAAGGCCUUAGGGUUGUAAAGCUCUUCUAUCCGGGACGAUAAUGACGGUACCGGAGGAAUAAGCCCCGGCUAACUUCGUGCCAGCAGCCGCCGUAA
rnacentral:rRNA from 1 species